ACUCCACAUACGCAUCCUUUGCUGAGGAUACGGUUAACGGAGCGCAAGCGACGUUCAACCGCAAAAGAAGCAGAGGGGGCUUAGUGGUGGGGUGACUGCGUACCUUUUGUAUAAUGGGUCAGCGACUUAUAUUCUGUAGCAAGGUUAACCGUAUAGGGGAGCCGGAGGGAAACCGAGUCUUAAUUGGGCGUUAAGUUGCAGGGUAUAGACCCGAAACCCGGUGAUCUAGCCAUGGGCAGGUUGAAGGUUGGGUAACACUAACUGGAGGACCGAACCGACUAAUGUUGAAAAAUUAGCGGAUGACCUGUGGCUGGGGGUGAAAGGCCAAUCAAACCGGGAGAUAGCUGGUUCUCCCCGAAAGCUAUUUAGGUAGCGCCUCGUGAAUUCAUCUCCGGGGGUAGAGCACUGUUUCGGCUAGGGGGCCAUCCCGGCUUACCAACCCGAUGCAAACUGCGAAUACCGGAGAAUGUUAUCACGGGAGACACACGGCGGGUGCUAACGUCCGUCGUGAAGAGGGAAACAACCCAGACCGCCAGCUAAGGUCCCAAAGUCAUGGUUAAGUGGGAAACGAUGUGGGAAGGCCCAGACAGCCAGGAUGUUGGCUUAGAAGCAGCCAUCAUUUAAAGAAAGCGUAAUAGCUCACUGGUCGAGUCGGCCUGCGCGGAAGAUGUAACGGGGCUAAACCAUGCACCGAAGCUGCGGCAGCGACACUCAGGUGUUGUUGGGUAGGGGAGCGUUCUGUAAGCCUGUGAAGGUGGCCUGUGAGGGUUGCUGGAGGUAUCAGAAGUGCGAAUGCUGACAUAAGUAACGAUAAAGCGGGUGAAAAGCCCGCUCGCCGGAAGACCAAGGGUUCCUGUCCAACGUUAAUCGGGGCAGGGUGAGUCGACCCCUAAGGCGAGGCCGAAAGGCGUAGUCGAUGGGAAACGGGUUAAUAUUCCCGUACUUGGUGUUACUGCGAAGGGGGGACGGAGAAGGCUAUGUUGGCCGGGCGACGGUUGUCCCGGUUUAAGCGUGUAGGUGUGUGUUCCAGGUAAAUCCGGUUCACUUUAACACUGAGGCGUGAUGACGAGGCACUACGGUGCUGAAGCAACAAAUGCCCUGCUUCCAGGAAAAGCCUCUAAGCAUCAGGUAACAUCAAAUCGUACCCCAAACCGACACAGGUGGUCAGGUAGAGAAUACCAAGGCGCUUGAGAGAACUCGGGUGAAGGAACUAGGCAAAAUGGUGCCGUAACUUCGGGAGAAGGCACGCUGACA
rnacentral:rRNA from 1 species